rnacentral:lncRNA from 1 species
GAAAUGCAUGCUCCGGCUCGAGGACGAGUUCCGCUCGCUGAUCGAGCGAUCAGACGGUGGAUCGCCGUUGGAUGCGCCGGCGGCGGGGUCGUCGCCUUUCGAUUCGGACGGAGAGAAUAGCGACGGAGACGACGGCCAGGUCCCAGUGGCUCACCCAGUCAAGGACUACGACCUCAUCAUCGACGCCCUCCCGCCAGGGACCGUCUCCGACCUCCACGAGAUCGCGCGGCGGAUGGUGGUUGCCGGCUUCGGCCGGGAGUGCGCCGAGGUCUACGCUCUCGCCCACCGGGAUUUCGUCGAGGAGAGCGUCGCCCGGCUAGGUAUCCGCCACCGUACCGCCGAGGAGGUCCAGGGCACACCUUGGGCUGACCUCGACGACGAGAUAGCCCGUUGGCUCAAAGCCAUCAACAUGGUCUUCCGCAUCCUGAUUCCCAGCGAACGCCGCCUCUGCGACCGGAUCUUCGCCGGCCUGUCCCCCUUCGCUGACCUCGCUUUCGCCGCCGUCUCCCGCGCUUCGGCGAUCCAGCUCCUCUCCUUCGCCGACGCCGUCGCCAUCGGGAACCGAGCACCAGAACGCCUUUUUCGGGUCGUCGACAUGUACGAGGCCGUGCGGGACCUCUUCCCGGACCUCGACCCCCUCUUCUCCGACCAGUACUCCACCUUCCUCCGGACGGAGGCCGCCACCCUCUCGAAGUCCCUGGCGGCGGCGAUCCGGGGAAUCUUCAUGGAACUGGAGAACCUGAUCCGGCGAGAUCCGGCGCGUGCGGCCGUGCCCGGUGGAGGCCUCCACCCGAUCACCCGCUACGUGAUGAACUACCUCCGGGCGGCGUGCGCCUCCCGGCGAACCCUCGAGGAGGUCAUGGAGGAGGACACCGGAACCGCCUCUCCGC